rnacentral:rRNA from 1 species
CAGUCGCCGCGGUAAUACGAAGGGGGCUAGCGUUGCUCGGAAUUACUGGGCGUAAAGGGCGCGUAGGCGGCGCUCCAAGUUAGGCGUGAAAUUCCCGGGCUCAACCUGGGGACUGCGCUUAAGACUGGAGUGCUUGAGGAUGGAAGAGGGUUGUGGAAUUCCCAGUGUAGAGGUGAAAUUCGUAGAUAUUGGGAAGAACACCGGUGGCGAAGGCGGCAACCUGGUCCAUUACUGACGCUGAGGCGCGAUAGCGUGGGGAGCAAACAGGAUUAGAUACCCGUGUAGUCCCUGUCUCUUAUAC